AAACAAUUUCUGUUCGUUGUUGGAUAAUAUAAAAUUUAUUUGUACUACCUUAACGUACCUUUAGAAACAGAGAGAAAAGUGAGGCUCAUAGAUACUUUCCUUGUUUGAUAGUGAGCUCAAAAUCAUUUGAUAUUUUCCUACAAUAUAUGAAUAUUGUUUUUAUUCUGCAUUUAACAUUUAUUCUUGAAAGUACAUCACAAAGUGUAUUUAUCUUCAAAUCUUAAUUAUAUGUUUGUCUAUUUCAGGCCAAAGCCAAUACAACCUCUUCUAGAGUAGCUUUCUUUGAACAGUUAUGAUAACUGUUAUAUAACUAAUCAGUAUUUGGUGCCAGAAAGUAUUUCUUUGUAUUGAAUGUGAUUCAUUGCUAUUAUUGAGUAGAAUUGUUGGAUAUAGUACUUUGAAAAUAACAUUAUGAUGAUAAUCCACCAGAAUAUAUUUUAUAAUUUUAAAAUAUUAAAUGUGUGUCCUAAAUAAACUUUAAUCAUGUAAUGGCAUUUAAAUGGUAUAUAUAAAGUUUAAAAAGGCAAUAAUUUAUUAACUACAGCAUGAACUUGUUGUGCUGACAUUUAUGACGAGGAAAACAACACAAUUCACAACCUUGAUUGGAAACAAAAGUUGUGUAUGAACCAUAUUUAUGACAAUGUGCUAUUAAAAUGUAAAAAUAUGCAUGGAGAAUGGUAACAGUACUGUUAAAAUUUUCACACAAUUUUGGUUGAAAAUACACAGAAUUUUUGGGGAAAAUAUGAAAUAUAAAGGUCUAGAUGGUUUCCUUGAAUUCUAUAGGAUUUAAUUUUU
rnacentral:lncRNA from 1 species